GUCUUUUUUUUUUUUUUUUUUUAAGGAAAAUAGAUUUUAACAGGAUUAUGGGGAUUUAUGAUUAUCGAGAAUCAUUGUGCGUAAUUGAGCAGAAUGCGUUAAAAGUGAGAAACUUGAAUUAGAGCGAAAGAAAGCAUUAUUUUAGGCUUAAUUAAGGGCUAAAAUUUUGUAUUCAGUCCAAAAAUUGUUCAUUAUAUCAUCUUUCUUUUGCGUAAAUCUUUGAUGAGAUCAUCUUGGGUUUUGGACUUUUAACUCACAUGAUAAACAAUGGGGAGUGUGGCAUGUGAUUUUUUGGAGUUGCUUCCUGAUUUUGAGCAGAAUUUCUGCCAUGAUUGGUUGGUUGUUUCUGACUCUGAACGACUGAACCUGUAGGUAGUUUUAUGAUGCUGCAUGGUAGAGUAAAUUCAUGUAUGGAAUUAGGCUUGUGGGAUGGGUAAUUAUUUGUUUCUGUGUCUUUUCUGUAUAUAGCUAAUCUUUCUCAUCUAAUGUAUUUUGUCUUUGUCCGAUUUUGAUGGAGAAAUUUACAUUGGAUCAGGUUUCUGACAUACUUCUAGAUUGUAGUACAUUAUUUGGUGGCCUAUGUAUGUCUGUUGGCAUUGAUGUCACUAUUGGAGUUGAUGUUAUGACAGUUUGCUAGUUGCAACUUGCAACUGCAAUGCUUUUCAAUGUACUGUCAGUAAAUGGUGGGCUUGGAAAUUUAAUACAGGAUAGAAAUCCUUGUGUUGAUCGCAUCUAAUGUAUAGAGGUAUCUUAUGAGAAUUCUGAUUUGUCUUUCCCCCAAGCAUUGACAAUUUGAUGAACCGCUUAUUAAAAUGCAAGCCGAGUAGGUUUGCACUUGUGUUUGGUUGUUUUUAUCUCAAAUCUUCUACUGUCGAAAUAGUUUCCUCCUUUUUUUUCUGCUGCAUAUUUUUCUUAUCAAAAGCAAUGAAACAGAUUUUGUUGCUUAGUGGUGUUUUUAUUGCCAACUUGGUUUUAUUGUACAGUGGCUUUUUUUUCAUUCUACUAUUGUUUUUGUUCAAUUUUGUAUUCUUGGGUUCAGGCUUUACCUUCCUGGUUUUUGCAGUCAAUGACACACAGCAGUUUGAAUGAGUGUUGGGGGCUUGGGGGCAUUGAUGCAUGCUGGGGUUUUAUGUUAUAUUGCAUUUGUCUUAAUUAAACAAAAAAUGAGCAUGAAAGGCUUUUAAAGGACUGAGAAGUUCAAAGUAAAAAAAUAAAGUUUUCUCUCUAUCAUAUCCACAUGACACACAGGAGUAGGACAUGAUAAUUGGGAAUGUUGCUUUUAUGCAGCUGUUUAGUCAUGUGAUGUCAGAGCUGCUGAGUAUUCAAACAACUAAAUUUCUAUACUGCCUUGAGUCCACCUGUCUGGAGAUAUAUUGGAAUGCAAUACUUUCAGAAGCUUUCAAGCAUUCCGCAACAAUCUACAUGGCAUAUUUGUUUUGGCAGUCAAAAUUUCUUCUGCAUGCAUAAUAUUGUUGCCAAGCACUCAAUUUGACCAAGUUAGGUCCCAUUUGGCACUGCAGGGGACCUGGGAGUUUCGGCACUUAGGUCCUUUUGCAGUGCCAAACAACCACAUAGACUAUAGUGUGUUGUGUUGGUUUCCUGUGAUUUUCUUAUGAUUCUUGAUGCUUCUCAGAAUUAUUGGUUAACUUCUUUUCAGUUUACUGGGAAGUCUGUCGGCA
rnacentral:misc_RNA from 1 species